UUCAGAGAAUGAUUCCCUGCCAGAAUGCAAAGAAACUCAAUGAGGUGAACCAAGAUUUAUGUGUUUGUUACCACCAUCUGUGAACAGAAUCAUUGAAGACAACAAAGGGUUGAGGUCAUCAGAGGCUUAGAAGAAGUAGAAGCUGACAUCUACAUCAGGAGACAUGAACCAUCCAGUUGAACGUGCCAGAUACAUGUCUCAACUUUCCAUUUCUUACAAAGGGUCCUCAAUUAAACUGAAUCACAAGAAGUUGGGUCAAUUCAUUCUUUCAGGUGAAAUCUCCAGUGCAGUAAAUGAGAGACAAUGCUCUAAAAAGGAGCAGACUGAAGUCCAACCUGAAAGCGAUAGUACUGCUCAGUCAGUUCUGAAAGGAGAAAAAUGGUGCCAACUCCAGGAGGAAGCUUCAAAAACUGCAGACAUAAAGGAGUGAUAGUAAAAGCCAAAGAA